AAGGUGGCCUGUGAGGGUUGCUGGAGGUAUCAGAAGUGCGAAUGCUGACAUAAGUAACGAUAAAGCGGGUGAAAAGCCCGCUCGCCGGAAGACCAAGGGUUCCUGUCCAACGUUAAUCGGGGCAGGGUGAGUCGACCCCUAAGGCGAGGCCGAAAGGCGUAGUCGAUGGGAAACGGGUUAAUAUUCCCGUACUUGGUGUUACUGCGAAGGGGGGACGGAGAAGGCUAUGUUGGCCGGGCGACGGUUGUCCCGGUUUAAGCGUGUAGGUGUGUGUUCCAGGUAAAUCCGGUUCACUUUAACACUGAGGCGUGACGACGAGGCACUACGGUGCUGAAGCAACAAAUGCCCUGCUUCCAGGAAAAGCCUCUAAGCAUCAGGUAACAUCAAAUCGUACCCCAAACCGACACAGGUGGUCAGGUAGAGAAUACCAAGGCGCUUGAGAGAACUCGGGUGAAGGAACUAGGCAAAAUGGUGCCGUAACUUCGGGAGAAGGCACGCUGACAUGUAGGUGAAGUGAUUUACUCAUGGAGCUGAAGUCAGUCGAAGAUACCAGCUGGCUGCAACUGUUUAUUAAAAACACAGCACUGUGCAAACACGAAAGUGGACGUAUACGGUGUGACGCCUGCCCGGUGCCGGAAGGUUAAUUGAUGGGGUCAGCGCAAGCGAAGCUCCUGAUCGAAGCCCCGGUAAACGGCGGCCGUAACUAUAACGGUCCUAAGGUAGCGAAAUUCCUUGUCGGGUAAGUUCCGACCUGCACGAAUGGCGUAAUGAUGGCCAGGCUGUCUCCACCCGAGACUCAGUGAAAUUGAACUCGCUGUGAAGAUGCAGUGUACCCGCGGCAAGACGGAAAGACCCCGUGAACCUUUACUAUAGCUUGACACUGAACAUUGAGCCUUGAUGUGUAGGAUAGGUGGGAGGCUUUGAAGUGUGGACGCCAGUCUGCAUGGAGCCGACCUUGAAAUACCACCCUUUAAUGUUUGAUGUUCUAACGUGGACCCGUGAUCCGGGUUGCGGACAGUGUCUGGUGGGUAGUUUGACUGGGGCGGUCUCCUCCUAAAGAGUAACGGAGGAGCACGAAGGUUGGCUAAUCCUGGUCGGACAUCAGGAGGUUAGUGCAAUGGCAUAAGCCAGCUUGACUGCGAGCGUGACGGCGCGAGCAGGUGCGAAAGCAGGUCAUAGUGAUCCGGUGGUUCUGAAUGGAAGGGCCAUCGCUCAACGGAUAAAAGGUACUCCGGGGAUAACAGGCUGAUACCGCCCAAGAGUUCAUAUCGACGGCGGUGUUUGGCACCUCGAUGUCGGCUCAUCACAUCCUGGGGCUGAAGUAGGUCCCAAGGGUAUGGCUGUUCGCCAUUUAAAGUGGUACGCGAGCUGGGUUUAGAACGUCGUGAGACAGUUCGGUCCCUAUCUGCCGUGGGCGCUGGAGAACUGAGGGGGGCUGCUCCUAGUACGAGAGGACCGGAGUGGACGCAUCACUGGUGUUCGGGUUGUCAUGCCAAUGGCACUGCCCGGUAGCUAAAUGCGGAAGAGAUAAGUGCUGAAAGCAUCUAAGCACGAAACUUGCCCCGAGAUGAGUUCU
rnacentral:rRNA from 3 species